UAUAUAAAUAAAUGAAACCAAAGAUGGCUAGGGCUGCACUUGCCUAAACAUGCAUAUAUUUACAGGGUGCACCCUAUGUUCAGGUGAGUGCAGCCCUAGCCAUCUUUGGUUUCAUUUAUUUUUUAU